rnacentral:lncRNA from 1 species
CCCUCGCUACAACCUAAGGGGGCCCCCCAAAAUCCAAAAUCCUAAAAUCUACAAAACCCCCCCCAAAAAUUUGGGGGAACACCAAAAAAUCGGGAGGGACCCCCAAAGAAAACAGGAGGGGCCCCAAAAAUCAGAGGGACCCCAAAAAAUACAGGGCGACCCCCAAAAAUCCCCCAAAUUUUCCACCGAGGCCUUGGGACCCCCAAAUUUAUCCUGAGGGAUCAAAUUUGGGUGGAACCCCAAAAAAUUAGAAUUUUUUUUUUUUUUUUUGCCCAAAAUCCCAAAAUUUUGGUCGUUUUGGGGUUUUUUUUGAGCUGGAUUUUAAAUGGGGACGCCAAAAUUUGUCACCAGGGGUGACAAACUUUGGGAUCAUUUCCCAUCACUUUGGGAUAAUUUCCCAUCAUUUUGGGGUCAUUUCACGCAAUUUUGGGGUCGUUCCUCAUUUUGGGGUCACUCCCCAUCACUCCGGGGUGGUCCCCCACCGUUUUGGGGUCAUUUCUCAUCAUUUUGGGGUCGUUCCUGACCGCUUUGGCCUCCUUGCCACCACCCCAGUGGUCACUCCCUCAAUGUCCAGCAGGGUCCAGUGGUCACUCCCCACCACUUUGGGGUCAUUUCCCACCACUUUGGGGUCAUUUCCCACCACUUUGGGGUCAUUUCCCACCAUUUUGGGGUCGUUCUGACCACUUUGGGGGUCACUCUGUGGUCACUCUGGCCACCACCCCAGUGGUCACUCUCUCGAUGUCCAGCAGGGUGUCCAGCGGUCACUCCCCACCACUCUGGGGUCACUUUGGGGUCAUUUCCCACCAUUUUGGGGUCGUUCUGACCACUUUGGGGGUCACUCUGUGGUCACUCUGGCCACCACCCCAGUGGUCACUCCCUCGAUGUCCAGCAGGGUCCAGCGGUCACUCCCCACCACUUUGGGGUCAUUUCUGACCACUUUGGGCUCGCUGCCAUCACUCUGGGGGUCACUCCCUCGAUGUCCAGCAGGGUCCAGGUGUCCAGCAGUCACUGCCCGCCACUUUGGGGUCACUUUGUGCCACUUUGGGGUCACUUUGUGCCACUCUGGGGUCACUUUGUGGUCACUCUGGUGGUCACUCCGUGGUCACUCUGGUGGUCACUUUGUGGUCACCCUGGUGGUCACUCCGUGGUCACCUCGCCCUCCACACCCCCCCCCCUCACUCCCCUCCCUCCACCCCCGCCCCUCCCCCACCCCUGGGAGAGAACCCAGCGCCCCUCCC